GGACAAGAAGUCAUAGCUCAUCGAGACGCUGACCUUCCUCAAAAGAUGCCGCGAUCACAAGAGGAUGAUCGAGGAGUUGUCAGCUCCCUGCCACUUGAAUGUCCGCGUGACGAGUCAGAGGGCAGCCGAGUCCAGUCUUCCCAGCCAAAGCCACGUGCAGCCUCGCCUAUCCGGGACUCCCUACCCCUCGAAGUCGGAGUGUAAGUAUAGAGAGAAGAGGUAAGUCUGAGGAGAAAACCCCGUAGAAGGGGAGUAGGGAGAGACUAGGCAAAUUGAGCCCUACACAGUAGAGAGAUAGGUUAGAUCUGUCCUGCUGGUCUACACUGACACGGGUAGAUUAACUCUAAUUAAAUAGGGAAUAAAGUACCAGUAGACACUAAUCCGUGUCGUGUGGUUUCUGUGUUUACGCACGGGUGUGCCAUUCUACCCACGUGUGGGUGCUUGCCGCGCACGUUAACCCAUGAGCCCGUGUGCUGUGGUUUCUGUGUUUACGCACGGGUGUGUAAUUUUACCCACGUGUGCGCGCUUGCCGUGUCACGUCAGCCCGUGAGCCUGCGUAGUUCUCUGUGAUUAUAAAGUGGGUAGUAUCGACAUUUGAAUCAUGCUUCUGCGAGGAGCAGCGGCGAGGGGGGGAGCAGGGGAGAGCGGGGGGGUACUGGAGAACGAGGAGUCGAGGGGCAGCAGCCCUAAUAAUUUGACAGCAGAGGAGAGCGGUGGGUCACAGGAGAACGGGGAGGUGGGGGGUAGCCUCCUUAACAAUACCUCGGGCACUGCGUCAGCGAGGCAAGGGUGUGAAUUGACCUGGAAAAGGUCCCCUCCAUGGUGGAGUGGCCGAGGCCAAGGAACAUGGCAGAAAUCAGGUCGCUCCUGGAACUAGCCACUUAUUGUCGUCGGUUUGUGAAGGGAUUCAUUGAGAUUGCAAGCCCACUCACACAACUCACUUCUGUGGUGCCACGACAGCGAAGCCGCUCCGCCGAGGCCGGGGCCGCCGCUGUGCUGACGGUGCUGCUGCAGCGGGGAAGUCACCCGGCUCCCGUCACAGCGCUCUCCCCACCACCCCCCACAUAAACACACACGGACUGGCAGGCAGGUGGGGAGCGGGUGGUGCAGGUUAACGGCCCUACCCAUAAUGCACCGCGAGUUUAACGGUCCUAGCCAUAAUGCACCGCGAGUUUAACGGCCCUACUCAUCAUGCACCGCGAGUUUAACGGCUCUACCCAUAAUGCACCGCAGUAGUAAUGUGGAAUGGGCAGAGCACUUGGUGGGACAAUGGGGGCGGGGCGUGAGAGAGGGGGGGGGGCGGCAGGUAAGCGUUCAAACCUAGGAAUAAAAAGGGACGGCAUUGAGAAGUAGGGGGCCUUUUUGCUCGGAACUUGGAGGAGGGAGGACAGAGGGUGAUCAUCCUGUUUCUCGACCGUCCGUGUGACGGGUUGUAGAACAGCCAGACUCCAGCCCCAGCCAAAGCUUGGUACAGCCGCGUCUCUCUCCAACCUUUCACACAUCUGGGCCGAACCGUGAGUAAGUGAGAGAGGUAAGGCAAAAGGGGAGGUUCUAAGAGAGAGAGAGUGAAUAGAGAGGGGACAGACCACUUGAGGAUUAGACCGUAGAGAGAUAGGUUAGAUCUGCCUGCUGGUCCGCACUGACACGCAGUUUAGUUUGUUUAUUCGUAGGUAAUUAAUCGUCAGUACGGUAUAAACCGUAUCGUGUUAUCUCUGUGAGUGAGGAGAGGAGGGCGAGGUGUUGUGAAUCGGAUCGCCGGGGUGCAUUGUAUCUACCUCCAGCUGUUCGGUGGAGUGCUCUUUUGUUUGCGCACGGGUGAGUAAUUUUACCCACGUGUUUGCGCUCGCACGGGCGGGUAAUCCGAUUGGCCAGAGGUCAGCGGGGGGGGGUCGGCAAGUAAGCAUUCAAACCUAGGAAUAAAAAGGGACGGCAUUGAGAAGUAGGGGGCCUUUUUGCUCGGAACUUGGAGGAGGGAGGACAGAGGGUGAUCAUCCUGUUUCUCGACCGUCCGUGUGACGGGUUGUAGAACAGCCAGACUCCAGCCCCAGCCAAAGCUUGGUACAGCCGUGUCUCUCUCCAACCUUUUACACAUCUGGGCCGAACCGUGAGUAAGUGAGAGAGGUAAGGCAAAGGGGGAGGUUCUAAGAGAGAGAGAGAGUGAAUAGAGAGGGGACAGACCACUUGAGGAUUAGACCGUAGAGAGAUAGAUUAGAUAUGCCUGCUGGUCCGCACUGACACACGCAGUUUAGUUUGUUUAUUCGUAGGUAAUUAAUCGUCAGUACGGUAUAAACCGUAUCGUGUUGUCUCUGUGAGUGCGGAGAGGAGGGCGAGGUGUUGUGAAUCGGAUCGCCGGGGUGCAUUGUAUCUACCUCCAGCUGUUCGGUGGAGUGCUCUUUUGUUUGCGCACGGGUGAGUAAUUUUACCCACGUGUUUGCGCUCGCACGGGCGGGUUCACUCGGGGCUCGACGCGCAUGCUUGGGCAGCAGUAACGUGCUAUCACCCUGGGAAUUAAGGUACGGGUCCUUCGAUCAUUAAAUUCACUAGUGCGUGGUGUGGUGAGCCUAUGCAUCGUGUGGUGCUGGUUGUAGUUCGCCCGCGCCCGUACGGGGGCGUGCAGGAGCAGCAGCGCUCACGGCACGCGCCGCGCGUGUGGCGUAUAGAGAUAAAUUGGUGAGCGGGUAUUCCGCAGCCGUAGCCUAAUUAGUUGAUUCCGAACGGCUGCGACGGUAAAUAAAACAAGAUUACGCAAUUCAAGCACGUGAUGCUGCUGGCGGUGGUUACCGUGUGUGUCGAGCUGCGCCGUGAGGUACACGGGUACCCACGUGCAUAAUCAUACAACGGUUGUUGCGGUUGUGGCAGUGGUAGAUGUGGCUGCCCGCCCAUCCAGGUUCAUAAUAAGUUGGCGCAACGCCAACUUAUUAUGAACCUGGAUGGGCGGGCAGCCGACUUUGUGGAGGCCCUACCCGCAAGCGCGCAAACACAGCUAGAGGAGCUGAUGCGCCGACUUGAUCUGCGUUUCGAUACGCGUGAUGAGGCAAAGGCAGCCUUAGAGGCACGUCUGCACCAACCCGGCAAGGACCUGCGUGACUAUGCCGAGGAUGUGCGCGAGCUAACAAAGAUCGCAUGCCCGGGGUACACGACGGAGGUGAUUGAGGAGCUUGCCGCCGAGAAGAUCCAGCGGUACUUGGCUCGCACGUCGUGGUGGCAGCCCGAUAUGAGCUGUACACGUCUCCCCUUUAACGCCCUUGUCGAGCGCGCGCGUAAAUGUGAAAGGAUUUCCAGCGAACGCGCGCAGCUCCGGGGGCUGGGACGAGAGCGCACCAUAGCAAGCCUGUCCCCAGAGGAGGAAGAGGAGGAACAGGAGCUUGCCAGGACAGUAAGGGGUCUGGAAAGGGAGCCUCCGGUAUCCCGUGAGACAACCCCGGAAUGGGUAGCGGGGAUGCAGACGGG